rnacentral:tRNA from 1 species
ACCUGGGUGGCUCAGUCGGUUAAGCAUCUGACUUCAGCUCAGGUCAUGAUCUCGUGGUUCGUGGGUUCGAGCCCCACAUCGGGCU